rnacentral:rRNA from 1 species
GACGAACGCUGGCGGCGUGCUUAACACAUGCAAGUCGAGCGGUAAGGCCCUUUCGGGGGUACACGAGCGGCGAACGGGUGAGUAACACGUGGGUGACCUGCCCUUAGCUCUGGGAUAAGCCUGGGAAACUGGGUCUAAUACCGGAUAUGACUCCAUGACGCAUGUUGUGGGGUGGGAAAGCCUUGUGCGGCUAGGGAUGGGCCCGCGGCCUAUCAGCUUGUUGGUGGGGUGAUGGCCUACCAAGGCGACGACGGGUAGCCGGCCUGAGAGGGCGACCGGCCACACUGGGACUGAGACACGGCCCAGACUCCUACGGGAGGCAGCAGUGGGGAAUCUUGCGCAAUGGGCGAAGCCUGACGCAGCGACGCCGCGUGAGGGAUGACGGCCU